UACAGAGGGAGCAAGCGUUAUCCGGAAUGAUUGGGCGUAAAGCGUCUGUAGGUGGUUUUAGAAAGUCUACUGUCAAAUACCAAGGCUCAACCUUGGGCAGGCAGUAGAGUACUUUUAGACUAGAGUGCGGUAGAGGUAGAGGGAAUCCCCUAGCGUAACAGUGAAAUGUGUAGAUUUUAGGGAGAACACCAGCGGCGAAGGCGCUCUACUGGGCCCAAGACUGACACUGAGAGACGAAAGCUAG
rnacentral:rRNA from 1 species